GUGAGUGUUUAGUCUGGCGCACGGCUUCAGGGGAGAUUGGCAGCUGGGUCAAACAAAGUCCUUCCAUUGGCUCUCUUCCCAGGCAGCUUCUGCUAGUAUUUAGGUACUAGUGCAGUGGAAGGCCCUUUUCUCAGGCAAAACCUAACAUCUGACCGCACCCUCUCUGCUUUUUCAAAAAAAAAAAAAAAAAAAGCUUCUUUUUCCUUCUUUCGUUAAGAUAAAUUCUCCAGUAGACAACCUCUCCCACUAAUUGUGUAUUAGCAAUGUAUUUUAUCUUGAGAGCUGACGCACUGGGCUCUCGACGUGGUGUGGAAAGCAGCCUGUUACAGUGCUGGAUUCAUAAAAGGGUCUUUAUGGUUUGUGAAAGAAUAUCUGUGUGCUUGGGCAGGAAACUUUUUGAUCUGCAGAAAAGCCAGAAGACAUCUAGGAUAUCCUUGAAGAUUAAUCAGAGAACCUUUCAUUCACCCAUAAAGGCAUUUGAACUGGGCAAACAGGACGAGAGCAGCAGUGAGCAUGAGAUCAUUGCAGCAGAGUGUAGCAACCUGGCACCCUGCCUUCUCACCCUUUUGGUUCAGGAGACAAACGUGUGCAAUCCUCAUUUCUAAAGUCAGCACAGCCUGGAAGAAUUCCUGGUUGCUCCCACCUUCUACCAUUCUGCUGCCAGGAACGGCAAGGAUUGGUGCAGCUUCUGCGCAGUGCUUUGUGCCUGGAAUCCCGAGAAGGAAGAAAAAGAAGAUAAGCACCCUGGUCCUUUUUUCCAAGAAAUAACAGGAGCCCGGAAGAAAAAAAACUCUGAGUUUGUCCUACUCCAUGCAACAGUGCUGAACAAAACUGAGACGCUCCUGCUCAAAACAAAAACAAAAACAAACAAACAAAAAUCCAAACCAAAACAAACCAAAAAAGGCAAACAUUGGCUUGUGUAACUGCAGAGACAUCGGGCUUUGUAAAGCAGCUUUGUAAGGCAACCUAACCAAAUGAGCCUUCUUUAUUUUUGUUAUUUCAAAAAUAUGGCAUAAUUAGCAAUAUAUUGCACUUGGUGAAAUCGCACCUUUCAUAUCAGGGAAAAACUUAAAAUGGAUAUGAGAAGUGAAGAAAGUGAUCAUAGGAGAAAAUCAUCUCAGUAGGUGUCUGACGAUUUGUGAGCACCAAGUGACUAUUCUGUGGAAUCAUCUUUCCUUGCCUUUGAAAUUAGCUUUCUGUAGGCCGUGAGUCAACAACAAUAUUUGAUACAUCCAAGUUGAUGCUGUUGGAACUAAUCCUGAUGAUGAGUGAUUUUACUUCAGGACUAUCUGCAGAUCAACAAGGAUUCUCUGCUCACGAAUGUGCCCUUGACUUGUGAAAGGAGGUAAAAUAUGAGCGGAAACCUGAAAGAAGGAAGUCAGCUGCCUGCUGAUUGAAGAUGGGAUGUAGCUGACUCAUUCGGAAACUCAGUAGGAGGGUUGCGUUUUUUUAAUCAUAUAAAUUAGAUGGGUGCCUAUUUUUGCUGUAGGUGCUAUCCUGGUGCUUUCCGAUAUUUUGUGACAAGGCAAGCAGACAUCUACAAGGAUGGAGUGCCCUAUAUCUGUCUUUUAUGAGGGACACUUGGAGCACAAACCCGCUAGCCCUCCCUGUUGGUUGGGAAUCACACAGAACUUUCAGUUGUGGUUUCCAACUGUGGAUACCUCAGCAGGAUGCCAGCUAUUUGGUUCCUGGAAAAUGGACUAUAAGUUUUAAUGUUUUCAUUCUGCCAUUGACAUGUAUAUUGGAAAUUUGUUACUUGUGAACCGCAAGAAAGAAUUGCAUUUUAUGACUGUCCAGAUAAAUAAAAUUAAAACACAAAUUAUGCCCCAGAAACGAGACUCUUUCUUAGCCAAUGAAUUCUUUCAGCAGUUGACCCUAGAGGGAACAGGAUAAUGUUUAACCCAUAAUCAUGCUUUGAAAUUUGCCAACUGUCCUGUCCCUUUGAUCACUCUAAAGCAAAAUAUGUUCCUGUCUGUUUGAAAGAGAACCAGAUACCAUGUACUUUGGUUACGGGGCCUAUGCUUGGUCAUCACAUUCAUAAUGAAGCUUUUUAAAAUACAAAGAAAUGACCAAAAAAAAAAAAAACGUGUUGGAAAUUCAGGAAUUCAUACCUGAAGAAGAGAUAAAAAAGGAGUAUCUUACAGAUGGGUACAAAGACUCACAAUAUACUUGUGACUCAAAGAAACUAGUUUUCCCUCAGAAAUAUUAAAUGUUCGGUUCUUUUAUGCCACUGAGGAAGAAAUUUUCCACAACUGUUCGGGGGAUAACUUCGGUGAUUAUGAGAAAAAUAAUUAAACUUUUCUCAGAACUGUCCUGAGGGACCAUUAGGAAGAAAAGUUUUAUAUAUGCUUGUAUUGCUAGAGAUGGUGAAGUGAAGAGUGUUUGGACGAGCCUCAGAGGAUUCUUAAGGACACUCGAGCGUCUCAUCAGUGGACUACAAUACACAGACUUGGGCAUGGUGAAGAAC
ensembl:lncRNA